GACGAACGCUGGCGGCGUGCUUAACACAUGCAAGUCGAACGGAAAGGCCUGUCCUUCCUUGUGUUGGACGGGUACUCGAGUGGCGAACGGGUGAGUAACACGUGAGUGAUCUGCCCCCAACUUGGGUAUAAGCCUGGGAAACUGGGUCUAAUUCCCGAUAGGACUGCAGGGUGGUGCCUGUGGUGGAAAACGAUUUUCUAGUGGUUGGGGAUGAGCUCGCGGCCUAUCAGCUUGUUGGUGGGGUAAUGGCCUACCAAGGCGGCGACGGGUAGCCGGCCUGAGAGGGUGGACGGCCACAUUGGGACUGAGAUACGGCCCAGACUCCUACGGGAGGCAGCAGUGGGGAAUAUUACACAAUGGGCGGAAGCCUGAUGCAGCGACGCCGCGUGGGGGAUGACGGCCUUCGGGUUGUAAACUCCUUUCGACCGCGAGGAAGCCGCCUGGUUGGAAGGGUGGUGACGGUAGUGGUAGAAGAAGCACCGGCUAACUACGUG
rnacentral:rRNA from 1 species